rnacentral:rRNA from 1 species
AUGAACGCUAGCUACAGGCUUAACACAUGCAAGUCGAGGGGCAGCAUGGUCUUAGCUUGCUAAGGCCGAUGGCGACCGGCGCACGGGUGAGUAACACGUAUCCAACCUGCCGUCUACUCUUGGACAGCCUUCUGAAAGGAAGAUUAAUACAAGAUGGCAUCAUGAGUCCGCAUGUUCACAUGAUUAAAGGUAUUCCGGUAGACGAUGGGGAUGCGUUCCAUUAGAUAGUAGGCGGGGUAACGGCCCACCUAGUCUUCGAUGGAUAGGGGUUCUGAGAGGAAGGUCCCCCACAUUGGAACUGAGACACGGUCCAAACUCCUACGGGAGGCAGCAGUGAGGAAUAUUGGUCAAUGGGCGAGAGCCUGAACCAGCCAAGUAGCGUGAAGGAUGACUGCCCUAUGGGUUGUAAACUUCUUUUAUAAAGGAAUAAAGUCGGGUAUGGAUACCCGUUUGCAUGUACUUUAUGAAUAAGGAUCGGCUAACUCCGUGCCAGCAGCCGCGGUAAUACGGAGGAUUCGAGCGUUAUCCGGAUUUAUUGGGUUUAAAGGGAGCGUAGAUGGAUGUUUAAGUCAGUUGUGAAAGUUUGCGGCUCAACCGUAAAAUUGCAGUUGAUACUGGAUAUCUUGAGUGCAGUUGAGGCAGGCGGAAUUCGUGGUGUAGCGGUGAAAUGCUUAGAUAUCACGAAGAACUCCGAUUGCGAAGGCAGCCUGCUAAGCUGCAACUGACAUUGAGGCUCGAAAGUGUGGGUAUCAAACAGGAUUAGAUACCCUGGUAGUCCACACGGUAAACGAUGAAUACUCGCUGUUUGCGAUAUGCGGCAAGCGGCCAAGCGAAAGCGUUAAGUAUUCCACCUGGGGAGUACGCCGGCAACGGUGAAACUCAAAGGAAUUGACGGGGGCCCGCACAAGCGGAGGAACAUGUGGUUUAAUUCGAUGAUACGCGAGGAACCUUACCCGGGCUUAAAUUGCAGAUGAAUUACGGUGAAAGCCGUAAGCCGCAAGGCAUCUGUGAAGGUGCUGCAUGGUUGUCGUCAGCUCGUGCCGUGAGGUGUCGGCUUAAGUGCCAUAACGAGCGCAACCCUUGUUGUCAGUUACUAACAGGUUCUGCUGAGGACUCUGACAAGACUGCCAUCGUAAGAUGUGAGGAAGGUGGGGAUGACGUCAAAUCAGCACGGCCCUUACGUCCGGGGCUACACACGUGUUACAAUGGGGGGUACAGAGGGCCGCUACCACGCGAGUGGAUGCCAAUCCCCAAAACCUCUCUCAGUUCGGACUGGAGUCUGCAACCCGACUCCACGAAGCUGGAUUCGCUAGUAAUCGCGCAUCAGCCACGGCGCGGUGAAUACGUUCCCGGGCCUUGUACACACCGCCCGUCAAGCCAUGGGAGCCGGGGGUACCUGAAGUGCGUAACCGCGAGGAGCGCCCUAGGGUAAAACUGGUGACUGGGGCU